UUCUCUCUCUUUAGUUUCUGUUCAUUUUGUUAUACUCUCUUUAGUUCAUGUUCGUUAUCUUUUGAAUAAUCGGAAAUAUAGAUUUUAUGAGGGAAAGAUGAAGUCUUUGAGGGAAAGAUCUAUAUUUUCCGAUGAUCCAUGUUCUUUGAGAUCUGUCUUUCCCGAUGAUUCGUGUUCUUUGAGAUCUAUCUUUCCCGAUGAUUCAUGUUCUUUUAGUUUAUGUUCACUUUGUUAUACUCUCUUUAGUUCAUGUUCUUUAUCUUUUGAAUAAUCGGAAAUAUAGAGUUUAUGAGGGAAAGAUGAAGUCUUUGAGUGAAAGAUCUAUAUUUUCCGAUGAUUCAUGUUAUUUGAGAUCUGUCUUUCCCGAUGAUUCAUGUUCUUUGAGAUCUAUCUUUCCCGAUGACAUCUAUCUGCCUCCGAACAUAACAUUCUCUCUCUUUAGUUUAUGUUCAUUUCCUUAUACUCACUUUAGUUUAUGUUCAUUUUCUUAUACUCUCUUUAGUUCAUGUUCAUUGUCUUAUUUUCUCCGUAGUUCAUAUUCGUUAUCUUUUGAAUAAUCGGAAAGAUGAAGUCUUUGAUUCAUGUUCUUUGAGAUCUGUCUUUCCCGAUGAUUCAUGUUCUUUGAGAUCUAUCUUUCCCGAUGACAUCUAUCUGCCUCCGAACAUAACAUUCUCUCUCUUUAGUUUAUGUUCAUUUUCUUAUACUCUCUUUAGUUUAUGUUCAUUUUCUUAUACUCUCUUUAGUUCAUGUUCAUUGUCUUAUUUUCUCCGUAGUUCAUGUUCGUUAUCUUUUGAAUAAUCGGAAAGAUGAAGUCUUUGAUUCAUGUUCUUUGAGAUCUGUCUUUCCCGAUGAUUCAUGUUCUUUGAGAUCUAUCUUUCCCGAUGACAUCUAUCUGCCUCCGAACAUAACAUUCUCUCUCUUUAGUUUAUGUUCAUUUUCUUAUACUCUCUUUAGUUUAUGUUCAUUUUCUUAUACUCUCUUUAGUUCAUGUUCAUUGUCUUAUUUUCUCCGUAGUUCAUGUUCGUUAUCUUUGGAAUAAUCGGAAAGAUUUAGUCUUUGAUUCAUGUUCUUUGAGAUAUGUCUUUCCCGAUGAUUCAUGUUCUUUGAGAUCUAUCUUUCCCGAUGAUUCAUGUUCUUUUAGUUGAUGUUCAUUUUCUUGUACUCUCUUUAGUUCAUGUUCGUUAUCUUUUGAAUAAUCGGAAAUAUAGAGUUUAUGAGGGAAAGAUCUAUCUUUCCCGAUGAUUCAUGUUCUUUGAGAUCUAUCUUUCCCGAUGAUUUAUUUUGAGGGAAAGAUCUGUUCCCCGAUUUCAUUUUUUUCAGAUCUGUUCUUCAAUUCAUAACAUUCUCUCUCUUUAGUUUAUGUUCAUUUCAUUUCUUAUACUCUCUUUAGUUCAUGUUCAUUUUCUUAUUUUCUUCUUAGUUCAUGUUCGUUAUCUUUUGAAUAAUCGGAAAGAUGAAGUCUUUGAGGGAUAGAUCUAUAUUUUCCGAUGAUUCAUGUUCUUUGAGAUCUGUCUUUCCCGAUGAUUCAUGUUCUUUGAGAUCUGUCUUUCCCGAUGAUUCAUGUUCUUUUAGUUGAUGUUCAUUUUCUUAUACUCUUUAGUUCAUGUUCGUUAUCUUUUGAAUAAUCGGAAAUAUAGAGUUUAUGAGGGAAAGAUGAGAUCUUUGAGGGAAAGAUCUAUCUUUCCCGAUGAUUUAUUUUGAGGGAAAGAUCUGUUGCCCGAUUUCAUUUUUUUCAGAUCUGUUCUUCAAUUCAUGUUCAUAUUUAUGUUUCCGGUAUGUAUUAUUGUCAUUGAUUCGGCCCAAUGUCGCAUAAAGGGCCCACUUGGGCCCAGAAGUUGUGCUCAUUGUAAUUUGUUCAUUCAUAAUAAUUUAUGUUAGUUCUCAAGGUCGUCUGGGUAUAAUCUCUGGGGGCCACGCUUCUUCCCACUAAUCCAAGUAGAAAUUUCUUAGUGUUUGGCCCUAAUAAUUUAGUUUGACACUUCUAUCUUAGUGUUUUUCUGUCAAGUGUCAAGCAUAGCAAAAUAUAUCAAUCAGCAUUCAGCGGCACCAUGCUAUCUGCUUGUGCAUGAACAAAUAAUCAGUGUGAGAUGUUCAAGAGUAAACUUGACCGUAGACUCUUCUCACCAAUUCACCCCAAGAAAGGCAGAUGCUUGUUAGACUAACAAAAUUGAGAGAUAUUCUGUACCACUUAACCUACUACAAUAUGAAAACUAUAAAAAGUUCCCUAUCUAACCUAUACUCGAGUUGCCAGGUCGAGCGGGAAAAAGAAUAUCAGAAUAUCCUCACUAGCACCCUCGCUUCGCUCUGAGCUUGCACUGAACCCUUGACUUAUACAGCCACCCAGGUUCCACCCUCACUCUCCUUUGUCUCGAGACUCUUUAACAUGUUCUGGUUACCUCCAAAGAACCAGCUUUGAUGGCACAGGUGGUAGCCACAUCCAUGCCUUUCAAUACCAGAGCUUAUCCGGGUUUCCUCAUCAAUUUGAAAUGCUUCCUCCACAAAGGCAUCGAUCCACACAGCCCACCAUUACGUGACGCAGUGAAAGUACUGAGUGACAGACCUUGCACCAUGACUAGAAUAGCCUAGAAUUGUUCCCAAAAAAACCCGCCUAGCGCCUAGGCGCACCCCACCUAGGCCGAUUUUUCGAAAAAGACUAUCUAGUAGCUCAGGGCAAGGCAUCGAAGAGUUUUGAUCUCCAAACUCCAACACAAGAAUCUUGUAAACCUCAACAAAAGCUUAGAUAUGAUAUUUUUGGGUUAGUUUCACUGGUCCUUUGUGUUUGGCUGCAAUUUCUCAUUGUCAUCUAUCUUUCUUCAGUAUCAUUGAUAAUGUCUGACCUCUUCCUAUCCUAGUAUGCCGAAGUCAGGGGGAAUUUUGAUUUCAUUUCUAAUGGCAAUGGGUGUAUUGAUUAGAUCCAAUGAGAAGAGCAGUGCUUGAUUGGGCUUAACGCUUCAAUAUUAUUCAAGGUGUUGCUAUCGUAAGUAAUAUUCUGUUGGAUGAGAAGAUGAGCCCAAAAAUAUCAGAUUUUGGAUUGGCGGAGAAGAUACAGAAUUCUGUCGCAAGUUUUCCUCUGGCGGAGUAGAAACAGAAAUAGGUAAAUGAUGAUGAUAUUGCUCUGUCUCACAUUGUUUGCGUUACAAAUUCAUUUUUUCAGAUGAAGGAAAUCGAACCAAGGUAGUUGUCAGCCCGAUCACAGCUAUUGGUUUAGUAUCUUGGGUGCCAUGGUGUUUGGUUUGCACAGAUUGCGAGCUAACCAAGAGGGUAAGAGAGAGAGAGAGAUGCAAUUCAUUUGUGUAAGCUAACAAAGAAAUUUUACUGGUUUUAUCUGAAUCGGUAUUUGAUUGUUAUAUUUGCCGAAUCAGGAAAAGUCAAAGUAACAACAAAGUUCUUUAAAUUGACUGAUACUACUGAGACUUCAAGAGACACUCUUCAAGAAUAUAUUAGAAACCAAGAUCCGUCGGAGCUAUACAUCUAUAAUUUUGACACCUUAUUAAUCGCUGCGAACAAUUUCAGUAUCACAAACAAACUCGGGAAAAGGGGGGAUUUGGUCCAGUUUACAAGGUCCACCAAGAAGCGCAACAUCCAAAUGCAUCCCAGGGACAAGGCAGCAGUGCUUUCCAGCUGAUCUGCUCUCUUCAUUCACCCCAAUUAAGACAGUCAUGACUAAUUUAUAUGAUGGCCUUGCCGAAGUUCUUCUCGUACUUCUGAAAAAUGCAGACACCCGUGAGAAUGUUCUUGAGUAUCUUGCAGAGGUGAUCAAUAAAAACUCAUCAAGGGCUCAUAUUCAGGAUGCUACACUUAUACAGAGUGCUUUUUCUUUCUAUCGAUUGAUGGUGGUGUAGCUAGUUCGCUUGUUUGGCGGAUUUUAAAUGCCUCUGCCCUCAACUUGCCCUACGGAGUUUGCUCCUAUGCCAGAGCUUUACUUAACUUCUGUGCAAUUAUUAUUAUUCUGGUUUCUAGUUGUUUUCCAAGAAUAUCAUUAUGUUUGAGUGGAAGCAAACAGAUGUCAUUGGAUAUUUCUCCAAUUGUUUAGUGCUGCAGCGGAUGUCCUAAGGAGAAUUGGAGAAGAUGGGAGGGUCAUACAGGAAUUUAUUGAGCUUGGUGCCAAAGCCAAAGUUGCUGCUUCUGAGGCCAUGGACGCUAAAGCGGCUCUCGGGAACAUACCAGAUGAAUUCCUUGAUCCAUUUCAGUACACUUUCAUGAAGGAUCCAGUCAUCUUGCCUUCUGCAAGAAUCACGGUAGACCGACCUGUCAUCCAAAGGCAUCUUCUUAGUGAUAAUGGACAUCAUCAACACUGCUAAUUAAUCUUGAUCUUAUGAAAUGUAUCUCCUAUUGUGUGAGAAUUUAUGUACUUCAUGUGAUUUGCAGUCGGAUCCGUUCAACCGCUCCCAUCUAACGGCGGACAUGCUAUACCAGCAAUGAAUUGAAGGGAAGAAUACAACAGUACAUUAUAGGUCCCAAGAAUUGAAGAAGCGCGGGGAAGACCUAAGCAUGCAGAGCAGCAAGGCAACCAGACAGACCACAACUAGCGAAAUGCUAAUUGAUUAGGAGGAUACAAGGUUAAUAUAAUAGGGGAUGAUUAAGAUUUAUAGCCUUUGGUGGAAAGUAACAGUUGAAGAAUUUGCAAAACUGCUUUCUCUCAAAAUUUGACUAAGUAAGAAAAAUGAACUUUUGAAAUACUAAUGUUUCAAUGAUAUUUUUGGCGGUUUAUAUUCCUUACAUUUUAAAUAAGCAAA